CGGCGGACGGGUGAGUAACGCGUAGGAAUCUACCUAGUAGUGGGGGAUAGCCCAGAGAAAUUUGGAUUAAUACCGCAUACGCCCUACGGGGGAAAGGAGGGGAUCUUCGGACCUUUCGCUAUUAGAUGAGCCUGCGUGAGAUUAGCUAGUUGGUGGGGUAAAGGCUCACCAAGGCGACGAUCUCUAGCUGGUCUGAGAGGAUGAUCAGCCACACUGGGACUGAGACACGGCCCAG
rnacentral:rRNA from 1 species